rnacentral:rRNA from 1 species
CAGCCGCCGCGGUAAUACAGAGGGUGCAAGCGUUAAUCGGAAUUACUGGGCGUAAAGCGUGCGCAGGCGGUUAUAUAAGACAGAUGUGAAAUCCCCGGGCUCAACCUGGGAACUGCAUUUGUGACUGUAUAGCUAGAGUACGGCAGAGGGGGAUGGAAUUCCGCGUGUAGCAGUGAAAUGCGUAGAUAUGCGGAGGAACACCGAUGGCGAAGGCAAUCCCCUGGGCCUGUACUGACGCUCAUGCACGAAAGCGUGGGGAGCAAACAGGAUUAGAUACCCGUGUAGUCCCUGUCUCUUAUAC